rnacentral:rRNA from 1 species
CAAUAGCGUAUAUUUAAGUUGUUGCAGUUAAAAAGCUCGUAGUUGGAUUUCGGAUGGGACUUGCCGGUCCGUCGUUUCGAUGUGCACUGGCCAGUCCUAUCUUGUUGUCGGGGACUAGCUCCUGGGCUUCACUGUCCGGGACUAGGAGCUGACGAGGUUACUUUGAGUAAAUUAGAGUGUUCAAAGCAAGCCUACGCUCUGAAUACAUUAGCAUGGAAUAACACGAUAGGACUCUGGCUUAUCUUGUUGGUCUGUGAGACCAGAGUAAUGAUUAAGAGGGACAGUCGGGGGCAUUCGUAUUUCAUUGUCAGAGGUGAAAUUCUUGGAUUCAUGAAAGACGAACUUCUGCGAAAGCAUUUGUCAAGGAUGUUUUCAUUAA